rnacentral:rRNA from 1 species
GUCUACAGCCAUGCUAUCCUGAACAAGCCCGAUCCCAUCUGAUCUUGGAAACUAAGCAGGGUCGGGCCUGGUUAGUACUUGGAUGGGAGACCACCUAGAAAGACCAGGUACUGUAGGCA